AUACGGAGGGUGCAAGCGUUAUUCGGAAUCACUGGGCGUAAAGGACGCGUAGGCGGGUUGGCAAGUCAGAUGUGAAAUCCUACAGCUUAACUGUAGAACUGCAUUUGAAACUGCUAACCUAGAGUAUGGGAGGGGGAGAUGGAAUUAGUGGUGUAGGGGUAAAAUCCGUAGAUAUCACUAGGAAUACCGAAAGCGAAGGCGAUCUCCUGGAACAUAACUGACGCUAAGGUGUGAAAGCGUGGGGAGCAAACAGGAUUAGAAACCCUAGUAGUCC
rnacentral:rRNA from 1 species